GGAUAACCUACCCUUAGGACUGGGAUAACCCUGGGAAACUGGGGAUAAUACUGGAUAGGCAAUUUUUCCUGUAAUGGUUUUUUGUUUAAAUGUUUUUUCGCCUAAGGAUGGGUCUGCGGCCGAUUAGGUAGUUGGUUAGGUAAUGGCUUACCAAGCUGUUGAUCGGUACGGGUUGUGAGAGCAAGAGCCCGGAGAUGGAACCUGAGACAAGGUUCCAGGCCCUACGGGGUGCAGCAGGCGCGAAACCUCCGCAAUGUGAGAAAUCGCGACGGGGGGAUCCCAAGUGCCAUUCUUAACGGGAUGGCUUUUCAUUAGUGUAAAGAGCUUUUGGAAUAAGAGCUGGGCAAGACCGGUGCCAGCCGCCGCGGUAACACCGGCAGCUCUAGUGGUAGCAAUUUUUAUUGGGCCUAAAGCGUCCGUAGCCGGUUUAAUAAGUCUCUGGUGAAAUCCUGCAGCUUAACUGUGGGAAUUGCUGGAGAUACUAUUAGACUUGAGACCGGGAGAGGUUAGAGGUACUCCCAGGGUAGAGGUGAAAUUCUGUAAUCCUGGGAGGACCGCCUGUUGCGAAGGCGUCUAACUGGAACGGUUCUGACGGUGAGGGACGAAAGUUAGGGGCGCGAACCGGAUUAGAUACCCGGGUAGUCCUAACUGUAAACGAUGCGGACUUGGUGUUGGGGUGGCUU
rnacentral:rRNA from 1 species